UUGAGGGGGUCUUUACAUGAAAGACUGCACAUUGAGCUGGAAAGGGGGCCCUCACACGUAGGCCCUAGAGAGUGGGGUUGUUAGCAGCAGAAGGGGAAAAGCAACUCUGGAGAUUUGAUCACAAACAAGUAACACCCUCUUUUCCUCCCUUCGGGCUCUUCCGGUCCCUCUGCUGCCUGAGGCCAGGGAAGGAAGAGGUACCUAACAGGACAGCCACACCUUGGGAAGCCUAGGAUUUGGUGACUAAAAACCAGAUACAAUGAGACCAGAGGAAUUGCCAGAGUUGUGCCCAGAGAGCUCACUGUGAACUGGAACCGCUUCAUGGAAUACUGGGGAGGUAGGCUGGGGGCAGAACUGGGGGCAAGCAUGAAGAAAAUCCAGGUAUGUAACUGUGGUCUAGAGGAAGAAGGGAAAUACGGUCACUCUGGAUUCUUUAGUGAAUCAAAAAUCUCCUUUUGCUUCAUUUCUUGUGUUCAAAAAUGUUUCAAAUAUACUGUGAACUAUUCACCUUAGGAACUAUCAGAAAUUAAAAAAAGUAACACGGAUGAUUCUUAGCAAUAAAAUAUUCAGCAGUUUUUCGUAUGGGAAAUUUUAAACAUAUAGAAACAGAAAGAAUACUGUGAUUUCCUCCAGGUACCUACUACUUAGCUUUCCUCUUAGUCAAUCUUGCUUCCUCUGUAUGUCUUAGCCCCUUCCCCCUCCCUUAUUAUUUUGAAGAAAAGCUCAGACAUCAUAGAAUACCAUUUUUAUAAUGUUAAAAAUAACUAAAAUUUUAAAAAAGGCUUUUCAUGAAUAUAUAGAUGCAGUAAGACCAUAUAAAAAGAAAUUCAAGGCAAGGAAAAGCACGGCACGUGGGGUGGUAGUUACUGCAUGCGGGCGGGGCUGAGUUACAAGUAGAUUAGUAUCUGCGAUCUUGUUUUCAUCAGCCAGUUCUGGGUACUUACUUGUUACCUUGUCAAAAAUGAAAGGAGACGGCACAAAGACCAAUAUGAGAAGGUGCAUGAACCCAGGAUUCACAUUCAUCCACUGCUGUGCACAGAAGCCCCGUUGGUCCCCUUUUCUGCCUGAGCCAAUGGAGUCAUCGUCGUCUUCCUUUUCAGAGGAUUACUUAGGAGUCCUCGUGUGUUUGAAACCAGAAGGAACCUUCGAAACCAGCACCUGAUGGAUGAGAUAGCUGGUGCACAGAGAAUACCUACUGUGAAAUGUGGAACAAAGUCAAGCUGUAAUAGAUAUCUGAUACAUCUCAGCAAAUAAAGAGGAUAAAAGAAGAAGCCAGAUCUUGAAGUCAUCUUGCAGGUUCUGCUUUCUCCCUCUGGGAAACCAGCCACAAUGUGUGAGGUCCAACUACCUGAGACCGAACUGUGGGCAAGUCUAGGUUAGCGCAUGGACAGAGAGAUGCCAUAUGGAGAGGCACCAAAGUACCAGACGUAAGUGAAGUCCUUUGGAAGUCUGCCAGCCACUUACUGAAUGUAGCUGAGUGACUCCACUGACACCACGGAGAGCAGAACAUCCCAGCCUUUCCCUGAAUUCCAUGCCCACACAACUGAAAAAAAGGCCACGAGAAUGUCCUUUUUGGUCAACUCCCCAUGCCGAUGGAACAACUGUGAGCGUAUUCUGGCCCCAGCGUUGUGCUCCUGCUCAGAACUUCUUCGAGCUCCAUCUUCAGUGACCUGACUUGCUUCAUUUCAUCCGUCUGUCACCUCCUCCCAAAAUAAGCGUGUGUGGUUUCUGUUUGACUUGUUUGCGUUAUACAUGUCCUUAUUAGUCAUGUGUGGGUGUCCCUACACCUCAUUAUCUCCUGAACUUCUCAGGGACCCAGUAGCCAACUCAUUGUCUGCAUUGUCCCGAAGCAUCGCACACAGGGAUACCACAUUUAAAAGCGGUGACUGCUGGAGAAGCAUCUGACCUGUCAAAAGGCUUGAUGGACACCCCCUCCUCCUUGUUCUGCCAGGAUCUCCGAAGGUGACUUCAUCAUCUUUCGUCCAUCAACCUGCUCGCUUUUCUGAAUUCUUUGAGGGGUGGUUGCUUCUAUGUUUUUUGUUUGUUUCAAAAGAAACAAAAAAACCUUAAAAAAAUUUUUUUUUAAUGUCUUACUUAUUUUUG